rnacentral:rRNA from 1 species
GACAGAGGGUGCAAACGUUGUUCGGAAUUACUGGGCGUAAAGCGCGUGUAGGUGGCAAGGCAAGUCGGGUGUGAAAGCCCUGGGCUCAACCCAGGAAGUGCACUCGAUACUGCCUCGCUAGAGUCCCGGAGAGGUUGGUGGAACUCUCGGUGUAGAGGUGAAAUUCGUAGAUAUCGAGAAGAACACCGGUGGCGAAGGCGGCCAACUGGACGGUGACUGACACUGAGACGCGAAAGCGUGGGGAGCAACAGGG